rnacentral:rRNA from 1 species
UACGUAGGGUGCGAGCGUUGUCCGGAAUUACUGGGCGUAAAGAGCUCGUAGGUGGUUUGUCGCGUUGUUCGUGAAAUCCCCGGGCUCAACCCGGGAACUGCGUCCGAUACUGGCAGGCUUGAAUCCGGGAGAGGGAUGCGGAAUUCCAGGUGUAGCGGUGAAAUGCGUAGAUAUCUGGAGGAACACCGGUGGCGAAGGCGGCAUCCUGGACCGGCAUUGACGCUGAGGCGCGAAAGCCAGGGGAGCAAACGGG